AAGGUAAUAGCUCAGUGGUAGAGCAUGUGCAUAGCAUGCAUGAGGUCCUGGGUUCAAUCCCCAGUACCUCU
rnacentral:tRNA from 1 species